rnacentral:snoRNA from 1 species
CCAACGUGGGCAUCCGGAGAAGUCGCUCUCUCCAGGCUCUGCCCGUGUGGCACAUGGGAGCGUAGGCCUCCGGGCCCGUGACGUAUGGUCCCGUUCCACGCCGUUGGAGAGCAAGCUGGGCCUCGAGUCUGCAGCCUGCAUAUUCCUACUGCUUCUCUGAGCCCCUGGGCACUGACAGAGGAGAUAAACCAUGCAGGAAACAAGC